rnacentral:rRNA from 1 species
UACGAAGGGGGCUAGCGUUGUUCGGAAUCACUGGGCGUAAAGCGCACGUAGGCGGAUCUUUAAGUCAGGGGUGAAAUCCCGAGGCUCAACCUCGGAACUGCCUUCGAUACUGGCGAUCUUGAGUCCGGAAGAGGUGAGUGGAACUCCUAGUGUAGAGGUGGAAUUCGUAGAUAUUAGGAAGAACACCAGUGGCGAAGGCGGCUCACUGGUCCGGUACUGACGCUGAGGUGCGAAAGCGUGGGGAGCAAACAGG